GGGGGGAGGGGCGGAGCGUGGCAGCUGGCAGUAGUUCCGUCAGAGCGGACAUCUUGUGGCUGUGUCGUGCGCGUGAGCCCCGUAGGGCCGGGGAGGUACCAGCUGCCGCGCGGGGAGGAGGCCGAGGCCGCAGCUCGAGGGAGGCCCCGGCCCUCUGCGCCUGUUCUGGCAGAGCCGGUGUGAGACGGAGAGAAAGAAUCCUUCCCUGUCGCCUGGAUAAUCAAGUUUUGGCCGGACCUUUGACUACACAUCGCGAUAGUGAGGAGCCAGGCGAAAAGCACAGACUAUGGCGCUGAAACGGAUUAAUAAGGAGCUUAGUGAUUUGGCCCGUGACCCUCCAGCACAAUGUUCUGCAGGUCCAGUUGGAGAUGAUAUGUUUCAUUGGCAAGCCACAAUUAUGGGACCUAAUGACAGCCCAUAUCAAGGUGGUGUAUUCUUUUUGACAAUUCAUUUUCCUACAGACUACCCCUUCAAACCACCUAAGGUUGCAUUUACAACAAAAAUUUAUCACCCAAAUAUUAACAGUAAUGGCAGCAUUUGUCUUGAUAUUCUAAGAUCACAGUGGUCUCCUGCUUUAACUAUUUCUAAAGUUCUUUUAUCCAUUUGUUCACUGCUAUGUGAUCCAAACCCCGAUGACCCCCUAGUGCCAGAGAUUGCACGGAUCUAUAAAACAGACAGAGAUAAGUACAACAGAAUAUCUCGGGAAUGGACUCAGAAGUAUGCCAUGUGAUGCUACCUUAAAGUCAGAAUAACCUGCAUUAUAGCUGGAAUAAACUUUAAAUUACUGUUCCUUUUUUGAUUUUCUUAUCCGCUGCUCCCCUAUCAGACCUCAUCUUUUUUUAAUUUUAUUUUUUGUUUACCUCCCUCCAUUCAUUCACAUGCUCAUCUGAGAAGACUUAAGUUCUUCCAGCUUUGGACAAUAACUGCUUUUAGAAACUGUAAAGUAGUUACAAGAGAACAGUUGCCCAAGAUUCAGAAAUUUUUUUAAAACUGGAGCAUGUGUAUGAGCAUUUAAAUGCAACAAAUAUCAUUUCAGGUGACUUAACAUGAAUGAAUAAAAGUCAAUGCUAUUGGAUUGUUUGUUUGACAAGUGCUAUCUGUGCCACUAAUCUUCUGUAGUAACAAGGGCAUUACCAUUCUUCACCCUUCCUAUUUCUGACCCUGUAGUUUUACUUUUUUUCUAGUUUUGAUCUAUCCAUUGUUAAGGUUGUCUUGUAUUUGAUUUCUAGCACAUGUGAUGUCUCCACAUUUUUGCACUGCUUACAUUUAUGUGCAAUCUUAACUCCUUGUCUCCACACCGAUGUGGAAAGCUAGAAAUAAAUGUUAAAGCUUAAUUUUUAUAAACAUUUGAAUAUGUACUUUGGACAUGAUUUACAUAAAGUUCUUCUCUAAACUGGAAGUGAAAUGCAUGCCUUCUGAAGAUGUUCUGGCUUUAAUUCUGUAAUAGUAUUUUCAUUGGGAAAUACCAGUUCAUCUAUCCAAUUUUUCCAAUGAGUGAAUUUUCCAUUUUUUUGCUUUAAAAAUUGUGGGUUCUUCAGGGUAGAUGUCAUGCUGAUCAAAACUUUUGGGUUCAAAUCAUGAAAAAUUAAGUGUUCCACAAGGUAAGAAAUACUGUUCUUUGACUCUGUUUUCAAAAACAAUUAUUUCUGAGACUCUUGUACUCAAAUAACAGCUUUAAGUAGGCCUAUUUCUUGAAAGCCAAAUAUGAGGAAAACACUUUUAUAAAACAAUGGAUCCCUAACUGGCUUUCGAAUUGCUUUUUUUAAAAGCCUUAGGUAUUUACAGAGAUGACUUCCUUAAAGUUAAACCAUUGAUUGUCAUCAUUAAUGGGAAUGUCCAGUUCUUUAUCUUUGACUCGAUGCUUUAUACAACAUUUCAUAUGUCGCUUCUAAGGGAAUAAGCCAUAGAGGCUUCUCCAGGUUUAAGAACAGGAAAGUACCUGGAAAACCAACAUUUCUGAAUGUAUGGACACUGGACUUAGGAUCAUCGACAAUGAGAUUUUCCAAACAAAUCCAAGAAUUUGCUCUCCUUCCCCAGCCCACCUAGUAGUAGUGUAAUAGUUUGAUGCAUUACUAGAGCCAGGUAUAGGACAGCAAUGAAUAUUAGCAGGUUAAGUAUCAGUUUAGACUUAAUUACUAUGUCCUAUACCUUUUAAUGCAUAAAAUUAAAUUUUUGUCUUUGGAGUCCAGUUGGCCUGUUAAUGAUAAAUUUGCAUUUUGACUCUUCCUGGGCAGGUUUGCAAUGUGAUAAUCAGAUUUUUUUUUUAACUAGUUUAUCUUGUGUGGGUGUACUCACAUUUAAAAGUAUGAACCACAGUUAACUAGUGGUCUCAGGGGUAGUGAAACACUCACUUUUUAAUUGCUUAGUUGAAGUAUACUUAUGACACUGAUCAUGCUGUAUUAAUUUGGGGGGAGUGACUCAAAGUAGCCAUGUUUUGUGUUGACAUAAAACUGUUAAAUGAUUGUUGGUUACACUUUUAAGUGAAUCUGUCUUCUAUUUUAUGAGGAACCCAGUGCAAGUCACUAAAUGUUGUCUAAUAGUGACAUCUGCAUAAGACUUGUAAUAGCUAAAGUUAAUUGAGCUUAAAGGAAUUGUUACCAUUAAAGUCUGUGUUUAAACACA